rnacentral:rRNA from 1 species
UCGGUUUCUAUCUAUGACGAAUUAUACCCAGUACGAAAGGACAGGUAUAAUAAAGCCAAUACCAAAAGCACGCUUUCAAACACAUAAAUAACUACACCCCCUUAAACCUAGACAAGGUUAAUUAAGGACACAGCCCUUA